CGAGACUAAAUAGUGUUUAAUAUUCAAAAGGAGAACCUUACCAGUUGUCUUCAGGUUGAAACUGCAAUUUCACUGGCGAUGUGAAACUGCACAGUCAUGAAGUUCUAUCUUCAGAAUUAUUAUGGCAAAGACCCACAACCACUACCAUCUAGAAGGACGAGAACAGCAGAUACCUGGGAACACCACCACUUGGAAAUUCCCUCCACGUCACUCGCCAUCUUGACUUGAAAACAGAUCACCAUUCCUUCAUUGUCGCUGGGUCACAGUCAUGGAAUUCCCUCCCUAACAGCACUGUGAUUGGGUACCUAUUCCUCAGGGACUGCAGUGGUUCAAGAAGGCAGCUCAUCACAACCUUCUCAAGAGUAGCUAGGAUUGGGCAAUAAAUUCGGGCUUAGCUGACAACACCUGCAUCCCGGCCUCUGCAAUUUCUGCUUUGGUUUUCUCCCACUGCAGCCAGGUUCCAGCAUUUAGUUUUGCCACUGAUGUGGCCCAAAAUAGAUUGGGAGCUUGGAGAAGAGUGGCCAUUCUUGUUCUGAUUCUCAUUGCCAAAUAUUAUGUAUGCACAGAGCAAGAACGACAGAGCCGUAUGAUUAAACAUUUUCACUGAAUCAGGGCUCCAAACUGAGGAAAAACAUUCUCUAGAACCAAUCUCUAAUUCCCUCCACAAGCCAAUUUUCUAUCCAGUUGGCUAGAUCACCAAGGAACCCAUGUGAUCUCACCCUUCUGGACCAGUCUGAAGGCCUAGAGACAACAAGA